rnacentral:rRNA from 1 species
AGUGGCGGACGGGUGUGUAACGCGUAAGAAUCUAACUUCAGGACGGGGACAACAGUGGGAAACGACUGCUAAUACCCGAUGUGCCGCAAGGUGAAACCUAAUUGGCCUGGAGAAGAGCUUGCGUCUGAUUAGCUAGUUGGUGGGGUAAAGGCCUACCAAGGCGACGAUCAGUAGCUGGUCUGAGAGGAUGAGCAGCCACACUGGGACUGAGACACGGCCCAGACUCCUACGGGAGGCAGCAGUGGGGAAUUUUCCGCAAUGGGCGAAAGCCUGACGGAGCAACGCCGCGUGAGGGAGGAAGGUCUUUGGAUUGUAAACCUCUUUUCUCAAGGAAGAAGUUCUGACGGUACUUGAGGAAUCAGCCUCGGCUAACUCCGUGCCAGCAGCCGCGGUAAUACGGGGGAGGCAAGCGUUAUCCGGAAUUAUUGGGCGUAAAGCGUCCGCAGGUGGUCAGCCAAGUCUGCCGUCAAAUCAGGUUGCUUAACGACCUAAAGGCGGUGGAAACUGGCAGACUAGAGAGCAGUAGGGGUAGCAGGAAUUCCCAGUGUAGCGGUGAAAUGCGUAGAGAUCGGGAAGAACAUCGGUGGCGAAAGCGUGCUACUGGGCUGUAUCUGACACUCAGGGACGAAAGCUAGGGGAGCGAAAGGGAUUAGAUACCCCUGUAGUCCUAGCCGUAAACGAUGGAUACUAGGCGUGGCUU